rnacentral:lncRNA from 1 species
CCCAGAGGAAGGGGCUUCUGGGCCACCAUCCAGCCCACUGCUCCUGGCUAAGAGGAAGGGGUUACCUGGCCACCAUCUGUCCUGCCACUCCCAGCCCAGAGGAAGGGGCUUCUGAGCCACAGUCCUACCUCUCCCAGCUCAGAGGAGCUCCUCCCUCCUCUCUUUGCCUCCUCACUGCCAUGACAUGAGCAGCUUUCCACUGCCAGAGCCUUUCACCAUGCUGUUUCUACCUUAAAGUCAGCCAACCAGAGUUCUCAACCUAUUUUGGUAUCAAGGUUAUACUAACUACAGCCUAGGCAUGGUGGAGCCUGCCCAUAAUACCAAUACUCUUGGGGGGCAAUGUAAGAAGAUCUCAAGUUCCAGCCCAGCCUGGGAAUCUUAACACCUUAACAAGACCCUAUUUCAAUUUUUAAAAAAAAUUUUUUUUAAAGACUGGAGAUAUAGCUCCCCAGUACCACAAAGAAAGAGAUUAUACUAAUUUCAUAAAAUAAGCUCAGUAACCUUUACUCCUUUUCUGUUUUCUGAAAUAUUACUAAGUGGGAUCAUUUGUUCAAUGAAAUUUGGUAAAACUCACCUGUAAAACCAAUUGGCCUUGUUUCUUUGACAAAGGAUAGCAGAAAG